rnacentral:misc_RNA from 1 species
GUUGUGAAUCAGCAUUCGGAAGACUAGAAGCCUGAGAUUGUGCUUUCUGAGCCCUUCGUGCCUGCCUUUCCUUUUCUGUAUCUGCCCAUUUGACAACCAAAGGAACACUUGAACCCUCCAUUUUGUGCUUUCCGUUGACAGCCUCCAGGGCAGCAAGGGCUUGUUCUUUAGUAUCAUACUUCAAAAAGGCACAUCCUUUGCUUGUCUGCUGAGAACCUCUUAGAAUUUGUAAAUCCUUUA